GUUAGAUUUUACCCGACCUCCGUGUGUUGGUUUAUUCCGACAAAUGCGUAAAACAGAAAAGGCGGUACAAAAGUCUGUGUGAGUUAUGGCGGCCAAUAUCUCUUUUUGCACAAAGCUGACAGGCAGCUUCCUUAAGAAAGGAGCCCGAGGACAGAGUGCUUUUUCUCUUUUUCCAAUGAAUUAACACAAACACCAGCUGUCUUUUUGUUCACGUGAAAUUACUAUCUUAGGCAAAGAGACAGUACUGAAGCACAAGUGUUCUGCAAGUGACGGUUUAGGUGUCAUUUUUCAGUUGCCUAGCAACUAAUUAGAUAAAAAGAGCACGUUGUGAGGGUUUCCAUUCGCGGUUUCGAACGGCAAAAACCCAAGGGCAUAUUAAAAUGGAUUCAAGAUAGCAUAUUACCUGGGACUACAGUUUAGAAUCCGAACCUAUUUAAUUCUCGGUGUUGGAUAAAGACGAACAAAUAGCUAUUUGAGACUGACAAAUUUGAGACUGACAAAUAGGUUAAAUCGAGACGAAUUUUAGGUAUAAUUUAUCCUCCUACGGAUUGCUUGCUUUCUCACUGCUUCGGAGGCGACAGUUCACAUCUUUAACCAGCAGAGGGCGAGUCGACUAUAGUUUUCGGCCCUCAGACACUCCCUCCUGCUCGCUUUACCUCCGCUCCCGGGGAAUUAAUUUAGCAGGAGGCGUUUCAAAUAUAGAACAACCCCAGGAAGUUGUGGUUGAAGGAGAGCGGUGCACAGGACGUGGCCUAGCGCCCGACCUGCCAGCCUUGAAUGUGUGGCUGCUCUGCAUUUCUGCCAACAUGCAUCUCUUUACUCGGGACUGCAGUAGAAAUUGCAGUGUCUGUUGUAGCAGAGUGCGUGGAUGAAAAGCAACUCCAUCCUCAGAAGCCGUAGAUAUAGGGGGUCAUUGGCCUCUAAUAAAAGAAAGGACCAGAGGUAGCACAGUAAGACGACAAAUAGAAAUUAUGAAGGUUCGAAAGAUGAAAUAAGCAGUUUACUUAUUGGGGCCAAUAACUGUGAUGGAACAAGAACAAAACAAGGCUCCGCUCUGGCUUUGCUAACCUAGGAACAAAAAUUAGAGGGAGGAAGAAGAGAAAACCAGGAGUGGUCGUUUAGAGCUGAUGAGGAGACAGAUAGCACUUUAGCUACAGAGAAGAGAAAGAAGUGCCCUCAGGUGACAUUUUGUUUUGGGAAAAGUCUGGAAAAGGAAAAGGAGUCUGUAGUUGGCAGGGCUGCACAGAGACUUGCCUGGGGAGAAAGAGGAAGUGAAGAGAAGGGAAGUGGUUGUGGUUUCUUAAAAAAACCAAAAUGUUGAAUGUUUUAAGGCCAAGUGGUUACUAUAGCAACCAGGCAGCGCAAAGCAGUUGAGUGAUACAAAUCCUACCUCUAACAACAGCCUAAAGACCAAUGACAAGUCCUCCCCACCAAGACUGAGGGAGAGAUCAAGGGGGGGGCACACAAACCCCAAUAAGAGUACCCCACAGGUGCCAAAUUAGGGGCUUUCCAGCUCUGGAGCCCCCUUCUCUUCGGAAAAGAGAUUCUUUGCAAUAAAACUCGGUUUUGUUUGGCAACUUCCUUGCACUCCUUUCCUUUAUUUCCAUACUGGACUGAGAGUCUGGACCCGGGAACAUAAUAAGGUUGGUGGUUGCACCCCGGAAGUGAUACCUUCUUACAGAAUCUUUCCCACUUUAAGAUUAUAUUUAAUUAUUCAAGGAAAAGCCAGACUGUUCUCCACAGCAGCUAUACCAUUUUACACUACUGUACCACUAACCAUGCACAAGAGCUCC
ensembl:lncRNA